CUUUUUAAAUAAAUUUAAUUUGUCCUCGAAUUGAAGGAAGUGAAAUUUUUUAUUAUAUUUCGUUUUUUAUUUUUGUUUGACGUUUGAUCUGUCAGAAAUCAUAUGGCAAGUUUGUAUAAAAAUCUUAGGGUGCAUUCAGUGAAUGCUCUUUCAACCAGAUUGCCGGCCGACAAUUUGUUAAUUAAUAUAUUUUAGUCGUACAAUUUUUUUAUUUAAAUAUUCGGCCUUUCAAAAUUAACGCAUUUGACAUAAAAGAAAUUGUAACGGAUCUGUAGCUCAAUAAGCAAAACUGGAAUUGUAUCUCUGUUUUGGACUAAAGCCGAAAUUUGGAUAUCGAAAAAAAGCAACCAUUUAAAAAAGAAAAACAAUAAUUUGAUUUAAGAUAUUUCUAAAAAAAAUAUACCAUCGAAGAGGAACAUGGAAAAAACGUAUUUGCAGCAUACCAGUAUUUUUUUCCACAAAAUACAAUUUUAAAAAUAAGAGAAUAUACUUAAGAUAGAUAUUCGAUAUAAUUUUUCUUGUGCUCAACAUCAAAUACUUUGGCAUAACUCACAUAGAGAAUUCCCGCUCACACCAAAAUGAUCAAAUAACAAAUAAAUAUGCAUUUUUAUUUUUAUUCAAUAAAUUAUACUAACAUUAUAAUUAACCAUAACCAAGACCACAGCUCGUACCUCUGUGAAAACUCAAAUAUAUUGCAAUGAUCUUACAAUUA